rnacentral:rRNA from 1 species
AUGUGGGUCCGUCACAACCCUAUACGGUCGACAAUACCUGACCAGCCCAUAUCCCGAAGGAAACGAGCGCCUACCGAUUCCAGGAGUAUGCGAGCUCGUCCGCGCUUGCGGAUUUUCGAGGCGGAAUCCACUACUUUAUCCAAAGCUGAAGAUAGUAUUAACUCUUCAACGGAGGGACUGAGGAAAAAGGCUGGCUUUGCAAACCAACAAAAGGCACAGCAUAAUUACGGAGCACAACAGAAGCAAGCUAUGCAAUUAACAGAAGAAGUUAUGCAAAUUAGUUAUGCGUUUACACAAAUCAACAGUGUGAUAAUGGACAAACUGAAAUGGCAGGGUAAGCAGAUUGAGCAGUAG